UUCUGCUUUCUCUUCGAUGAACUUUCAGACACAACAUACCUUAGAACUGAUAGCAAAAGUGUGAUGUGACACCAAUACUGUGUCAAGUGUCUGAACUGGUGCAUUCUCGGCCAUGAUUGGAAUGUGAUCACUCCACUUGCCUGCUAUAAGACAGAGAACCUUUAGACCAUCGUGCACCAAUCUCUCGCGUGCAGGCGGGAAGUGGGAGACAGAGAGCCAUGGAGCAACGCUGGAAGAUGGAAGAACCAGGCAAGGUGACAGUCGCUCAUGGAUCGAUCAUGGUGCUGCCCACUGCCAAUCUCUCGGGAAGAGAGAAUCCUCACAGCUGUACUCGACUCCUGGGUCGAUCACGGUGACACCAAUUUGGCAAAGCUGACAGUGGAACUGCACCUAUUUGGCAAGAGAGGGACAAGUGCAUCAAAAAGGUGACAGCCUGAGAGGCAAAUAAAAUUAUCAUUACAGGAGGGACUGCAAUGGCAUUUACCAGACGAGGCCCAUGUCUGGAGGCGCCCGGCCC